rnacentral:rRNA from 1 species
UACGAAGGGGGCUAGCGUUGUUCGGAAUUACUGGGCGUAAAGGGCGCGUAGGCGGCGUGUCAAGUCAGGCGUGAAAGCCCCGGGCUCAACCUGGGAACCGCGCUUGAGACUGGCAUGCUCGAGUUCGGGAGAGGAUGGUGGAAUUCCCAGUGUAGAGGUGAAAUUCGUAGAUAUUGGGAAGAACACCGAUGGCGAAGGCAGCCAUCUGGACCGACACUGACGCUGAGGCGCGAAAGCGUAGGAAGCAAACAGG